rnacentral:tRNA from 1 species
GGAUCGAUGGUGUAGUUGGUUAUCACGUUUGUCUAACACUUCAUUCACGGAAUGGAUGGACACAAAAGGUCGGCGGUUCAAGUCCGCCUCGAUUCA